GCGCAGCAGGCGAGAAAACUUUACAAUGUGCGAAAGCACGAUAAGGGAACUCUGAGUGCCUCCUAAGGAGGCUGUUCAGGUGUCUAAAAAGCACCUGGAGUAAGGGCUGGGUAAGACCGGUGCCAGCCGCCGCGGUAACACCGGCAGCCCAGGUGGUAGCCACUUUUAUUGGGUCUAAAGCGUCCGUAGCCGGUUGAGUAAGUUCCUUGGGAAAUUUGGCUGCUCAACAGUCAAGCUUCCAGGGAAUACUGCUCGACUUGGGACUGGGAGAGGUCAGAGGUACUCCAGGGGUAGGGGUGAAAUCCAUUAAUCCCUGGGGGACCACCGGUAGCGAAGGCGUCUGACCAGACCAGGUCCGACGGUGAGGGACGAAGGCUAGGGGCGCGAACCGGAUUAGAUACCCGGGUAGU
rnacentral:rRNA from 1 species